AUUGUUCGGAUAAUGAAGACAAGGAAAGUACUAAGUCACACACUUCUGAUUACUGAACUCUUCCAACAGCUUAAGUUUCCUAUCAAGCCAGCGGAUUUGAAGAAAAGGAUAGAGAGCCUCAUCGACAGGGAGUACCUGGAGCGAGACAAGAGCAACCCUCAAAUAUACAAUUACCUAGCAUAAUUCAUUUUGCGGCACUAAAAAAUCUUCUUGUAAAUGACAUGGGAGAUGUCUGACCUCUUUAAGAGGCUACUCAAUCCCUGUCCGAUGAAUGUACAGUUAACUUGUAGUGGUUUAAUUUUGUUGCAGCCAACAAUAUAAUUGUAAAGCAUAUUAAGCUUCUCUUUUAUUCUUCGCUUCCUGUUAUAAGACGAUUUUUUAGUGCCGCAAAAUGAAUUAUG
rnacentral:misc_RNA from 1 species